rnacentral:rRNA from 1 species
GUAGGGAAUAUUGGACAAUGGGGGGAACCCUGAUCCAGCCAUGCCGCGUGGAGGAAGACUGCCCUCUGGGUUGUAAACUCCUUUUAUAUGGGAAGAACCGUCCUCAUUAAUGAGUGACCUGACGGUACCAUAGGAAUAAGCACCGGCUAACUCCGUGCCAGCAGCCGCGGUAAUACGGAGGGUGCAAGCGUUAUCCGGAUUCACUGGGUUUAAAGGGUGCGUAGGCGGAUAAAUAAGUCAGUGGUGAAAUCAACGGGCUCAACCUGUUAACUGCCAUUGAUACUGUGUAUCUUGAAUAUGAGAGAGGUAGGCGGAAUGUUGCAUGUAGCGGUGAAAUGCUUAGAUAUGCUACGGAACACCGAUUGCGAAGGCAGCUUACUAUUUCAUGAUUGACGCUGAGGCACGAAAGCGUGGGUAGCGAACAGGAUUAGAAACCCCUGUAGUCC